UACGUAGGGACCAAGCGUUGUCCGGAAUCAUUGGGCGUAAAGAGCGUGUAGGCGGCUUGUUAAGUCUUGCGUGAAAUCUCGGGGCUCAACCCCGAGCGGUCGUGAGAAACUGGCAGGCUAGAGUGCGGGAGAGGAGAGUGGAAUUCCUGGUGUAGCGGUGAAAUGCGCAGAUAUCAGGAAGAACACCCGUGGCGAAGGCGGCUCUCUGGAACGCAACUGACGCUGAGACGCGCAAGCGUGGGGAGCAAACAGG
rnacentral:rRNA from 1 species